CCGGAAGAGCACCGCACGUCGCGCGGUGUCCGGUGCGCCCCCGGCGGCCCAUGAAAAUCCGGAGGACCGAGUACCGUUCACGCCCGGUCGUCUUCAUAACCGCAUCAGGUCUCCAAGGUGAACAGCCUCUGGCCAAUGGAACAAUGUAGGCAAGGGAAGUCGGCAAAACGGAUCCGUAACUUCGGGAAAAGGAUUGGCUCUGAGGACUGGGCUCGGGGGUCCCGGCCCCG
rnacentral:ncRNA from 1 species